CUCAAGACCAAAAAGUCUUCCCAAAUUCAGGUACCCCUUUUUAAUUUAUUAUCUAAUUUAAAUUUUGUAUUAUCUUCUAGUCACUGCAAGCUUUUUCUUUUCAUGUGUUGGAUGAAUUAAUUUUAGAUUCUGGAAAGGUAGGGAAAUAGUGGUGUGUUUUAGAGAAUAAGGAAGAUUUGUAAACUGCAUGAAUUUGUGUAGGUAUUUCUAGGCUAUUCUUAUGCUUGUACUUGUGAGAAAAGCUUACCUAUUCAAACUUAUAAAACUUGUAAUGUAACUUCCACACACACUUAUGAGAGGUUAUUAAUGAAGGGAAAAAUGCUAUUAGCACCACCUGUUAUUACUACCUCAAUAAUCAACCAUCUUUGAAUUUUUUGUCUGCAGCAAUAAUAACAUACAUUCUUACUGAGGCUGUUUGUCUAAACUCUAAAGUCAGUGUGCCUAAAACAAAUUAGGCCUUGUUUGACAACAGCUUUUAAGAAAGCGUUUAGUAUUUGACUCUAGUCAAAAUACAACCUCUCUUAUUUAUAUUGUCAAGUGGCAUAGUAUUUAUAUUAGUUUUUAGAUAUCGAGAAAAUUGUUCAUGUAAAGUUACCCCGUCUAACUUGCUGAGAGAACGUUUUGAUUAUGGUCAAUAAGAUGAUACCACUAUUUUUACAAUCCAACAAUUCUUUGUACCGAACUCUUCUAUUUUAAAUCACUAUAUAAACAACUAAUCACCGAUAGCUAAUAUAUAACAGUUAACAGCUAGAAAAACAGUAUACAAUUAUUAAAAUAGCUAAAAACUACUAAAACUACUAAUAUUGCCGAACAGGACCUUAGUUAAGUGAUUUCUCUAGUCAUUCCAAAGGAUGGGUGGAUUUUUUUUUUUCUUUUUUUGUACUUUAAGAGUAGGUAGGGUAGGACAAAUUCAAAUCAUCAACAUUUGAAAAUCCUGAGCCUCUACAUUCCAAUUCAAAGUUUU
rnacentral:misc_RNA from 1 species